UUGCCCACCCCUGCUGUACAGCCUACAUCACUUGUACAUGUCCUUACCAAAUAGGACACUAGCUAGCUAAAUGUAACUAAUAUGGCAUUGUGAAAGUUGUAUGCCUAAAUGUAAACCAUAAUAUUAAAUUUUGAUGGACAGAAUUCAACUAAACCAACAUAUUACAUUGUGAAUGUAGUUGCACAGUGAUACUGAGACCGACUUAUUCCUGUCUUUAUUUGCCAGGCUUCUACACUUGCCCUCAGAGUUCACAUAUGGUGAAGUGCACAGGUGUCCAGUCAGGUUCAGACUGAUGCUGGUAACAAGAGGAAAACAUGCUAAUUGAUGACCUUUCCAGCAUGUCCAACUCAUCAGCAUCAGGGGAGGAGAGUCGGUGAAGGUGGUGCACCAUCCAGGACCAGUCAUGGGCCACCAACACCUCUGCAAAAUCUGCACUUCUUGUGAACCCUCUAGAAGACACUACAACCACAAAACUGCUAAUAAACCAUCACAUACUACAUCA